UGUCCAGGGAUGGGAAUCGAACCCACAGUGUUCCGCUUACUGGGCAGAUGCCAUGUCCACUAGGCUACCCUAGAC